rnacentral:rRNA from 1 species
GACGAACGCUGGCGGCGUGCUUAACACAUGCAAGUCGAACGGAAAGGCCCUGCUUUUGUGGGGUGCUCGAGUGGCGAACGGGUGAGUAACACGUGAGUAACCUGCCCUUGACUUUGGGAUAACUUCAGGAAACUGGGGCUAAUACCGGCUAGGAGCUCCUGCUGCAUGGUGGGGGUUGGAAAGUUUCGGCGGUUGGGGAUGGACUCCCGGCUUAUCAGCUUGUUGGUGGGGUAGUGGCUUACCAAGGCUUUGACGGGUAGCCGGCCUGAGAGGGUGACCGGCCACAUUGGGACUGAGAUACGGCCCAGACUCCUACGGGAGGCAGCAGUGGGGAAUAUUGCACAAUGGGCGGAAGCCUGAUGCAGCAACGCCGCGUGCGGGAUGACGGCCUUCGGGUUGUAAACCGCUUUCGCCUGUGACGAAGCGUGAGUGACGGUAAUGGGUAAAGAAGCACCGGCUAACUACGUG